rnacentral:rRNA from 1 species
GACAGAGGGUGCAAACGUUGUUCGGAAUUACUGGGCGUAAAGCGCGUGUAGGCGGCCCCGCAAGUCGGAUGUGAAAUCCAACGGCUCAACCGUGGAAGUGCAUUCGAAACUGCAGGGCUAGAGUCCUGGAGAGGAAGGUGGAAUGCUUGGUGUAGAGGUGAAAUUCGUAGAUAUCAAGCGGAACACCGGUGGCGAAGGCGGCCUUCUGGACAGUGACUGACGCUGAGGCGCGAAAGCGUGGGGAGCAAACAGG